CAGUAGCCACGGUAAUACGUAGGGUGCAAGCGUUAAUCGGAAUUACUGGGCGUAAAGCGUGCGCAGGCGGUUAUAUAAGUCAGAUGUGAAAUCCCCGGGCUCAACCUGGGAACUGCAUUUGAGACUGUAUGGCUAGAGUGUGUCAGAGGGGGGUAGAAUUCCACGUGUAGCAGUGAAAUGCGUAGAUAUGUGGAGGAAUACCGAUGGCGAAGGCAGCCCCCUGGGAUAACACUGACGCUCAUGUACGAAAGCGUGGGGAGCAAACAGGAUUAGAUACCCCAGUAGUCCCUGUCUCUUAUAC
rnacentral:rRNA from 1 species